GUCCCAGUAGCGUAAUGGAUAACGCAUUGGACUUUUAUUCCAAAGGUCGUGCGUUCGAAUCCUACCUGGAAUG